rnacentral:rRNA from 1 species
GGUUAAGUUAGAAAGGGCGCACGGUGGAUGCCUUGGCACUAGGAGCCGAUGAAGGACGGGACUAACACCGAUAUGCUUCGGGGAGCUGUAAGUAAGCUUUGAUCCGGAGAUUUCCGAAUGGGGAAACCCACUGUUCGUAAUGGAACAGUAUCUUUACCUGAAUACAUAGGGUACUGAAGGCAGACCCGGGGAACUGAAACAUCUAAGUACCCGGAGGAAGAGAAAGCAAACGCGAUUUCCUGAGUAGCGGCGAGCGAAACGGAAUUAGCCCAAACCAAGAGGCUUGCCUCUUGGGGUUGUAGGACACUCAACAUGGAGUUACAAAGGAACGGGGUAAAUGAAGCGACCUGGAAAGGUCCGUCGAAGAAGGUAAAAACCCUGUAGUUGAAACUUCGUUCCCUCCUGAGUGGAUCCUGAGUACGGCGGGACACGAGAAAUCCCGUCGGAAGCAGGGAGGACCAUCUCCCAAGGCUAAAUACUCCCUA